UACGUAGGUGGCAAGCGUUGUCCGGAAUUAUUGGGCGUAAAGCGCGCGCAGGCGGUCUCUUAAGUCUGAUGUGAAAGCCCACGGCUCAACCGUGGAGGGUCAUUGGAAACUGGGGGACUUGAGUACAGAAGAGGAAAGCGGAAUUCCACGUGUAGCGGUGAAAUGCGUAGAGAUGUGGAGGAACACCAGUGGCGAAGGCGGCUUUCUGGUCUGUAACUGACGCUGAGGCGCGAAAGCGUGGGGAGCAAACUGAUGAUAACGAA
rnacentral:rRNA from 1 species